GAAAGCAGUCCACCCACCCAGCCCGGGUCCCCCCGAGGCUGACAUGAGCAGCAGGGCAGGCUUGGUUUCCGUGGGGCCCCCUCCUCCGCGGAAGUGGGGUCCACUCAGGCCUCCCUCACAGGCUCCCAACAUGGACUGUUGGCAGGACCUGGGGCUCCUCUCCGUGGCCCAGAUGUGCCUCCUCACAUGACCUGACACCAUUCUCUUUGACUCCUAUCCUCACCUCCCUAAGAACUCUGAGAGAAAGGUGAAGGGUCAUCCAUUCAUGCCCUCUCUUUACCCCCUACCCCCCAACAAAUUCCCAAAGAGCUGAGAGUGGGGCUUGGCCCCUCUGUCCUGGCGUGGGAGUCCACUCUUUGCCUCAAGGUGCUGGUGUGUCCUUUCGGAGGAUCUGGAACUAUCCCUUCUGCUCACCUGAGGAUGUGUCUUCCUGCGGGCCAAGGCCACCCUCCCGCUGACACCCACAGGACAAAGCGGGCUGCUUCCUCCACCUGACACGGGCCCUGGCUGGCGGGACUGACCCGCAGGGCAGGUAGUUGCUUGGUACCCCUAGGUCUGGGUGGGGGUCUGCUCCGUCCUGUCUCAGGACCCUGAGACUCCACUCUGUGGUGACCUGAGGCUACGCUCCUCAGACCAAGGCCCUCAUCCCCCUCAGACCCUGGAUGCACAAGAAACACUUCUUCUGCUCAGCCCCGCCAUGGAGGACAUCCAAGCAGGAGCCCAAGGGCGAAAAGCAAAGUUAAAAU